rnacentral:tRNA from 1 species
GCCGCUUUAGCUCAGUCUGGCAGAGCACCGGACUUUUAAUCCGAGGGCCGUGGGUUCAAGCCCCACAGGCGGCACCA